rnacentral:rRNA from 1 species
GACGAACGCUGGCGGCGUGCUUAACACAUGCAAGUCGAACGGAAAGGCCCUGCUUUUGUGGGGUGCUCGAGUGGCGAACGGGUGAGUAACACGUGAGUAACCUGCCCUUGACUUUGGGAUAACUUCAGGAAACUGGGGCUAAUACCGGAUAGGAGCUCCUGCUGCAUGUUGGGGGUUGGAAAGUUUCGGCGGUUGGGGAUGGACUCGCGGCUUAUCAGCUUGUUGGUGGGGUAGUGGCUUACCAAGGCUUUGACGGGUAGCCGGCCUGAGAGGGUGACCGGCCACAUUGCGACUGAGAUACGGCCCAGACUCCUACGGGAGGCAGAAGUGGGGAAUAUUGCACAAUGGGCGGAAGCCUGAUGCAGCAACGCCGCGUGCGGGAUGACGGCCUUCGGGUUGUAAACCGCUUUCGCCUGUGACGAAGCGUGAGUGACGGUAAUGUGUAAAGAAGCACCGGCUAACUACGUG